AUCACCUGCUGAAUUUAAGCAUAUAAGUAAGCGGAGGACAAGAAACUAAACAGGAUCCCCAUAGUAAUGGCGAAUGAACCGGGAUAAACUCAGCAUGGAAAUUGGGGCCUUUGGCUUUGACUUGUAAUCUGGUGAGGCAUUGCCAACAGAGGCGCAUAUGUAAGUCUCUUGGAAAAGAGCAUCAACGAAGGUGAGAGUCCUGAUUGUCAUGUGCAGCCCCCCUGUGCACGGUGUGCCUUCUAAGAGUCACGUUCCUUGGGAUUGGAGCGCAAAUUGGGUGGUAACUUUCAUCUGAAGUUAAACAAUGGUUUGGGACCGAUAGGAAACAAGUACCAUGAGGGAAAGGUGAAAAGGACUUUGGAAAGAGAGUUAAAAGUGCCUGAAAUUGCUGAAGGGGAAGCGAAUGGAACCAGUGGUGCUGGGUGAGAUUGUCACAUGCUGCAAGGAUUGGUUGCUGCCACAACGCAAGUGUGCUGGCAAUUUGUGAACUGCUAGUGUGUGGUGUGUCUUACCUAGUGGGUCAUUGUGGGUUUAUGCAUUAAGAUAAAUCAAAGCAAGCGGGAGCAAGUUUACGAGUUUGUGAAUGUGUGUUGUUAUGCUUGUGCGUAAGCUUUAGUGUUUGUCUGGCUGCAGGGCUGUCCAUCCUCAAGCUUUGCUGUGGUUGCGAUGAGCAUAACCUUCUGCACAGAUCUUGACGAAAUGGUUUCAUUCGACCCGUCUUGAAACACGGACCAAGGAGUCUAGCAUAUGUGCAUGCGCAUGGGCUUUACACCUGUGUGUGCAACGAAAGUGACUGCUGGGAUAAGUGCGCCAGCAACCGACCAAUUGAUUGAGAAAGGUUUGAGUAUCAGCAUAUGUGUUAGGACCCGAAAGAUGGUGAACUAUGCUUGAGAAGGGCAAACUCAGGGGAAACUCUGAUGGAGGCUCGUAGCGGUACUGACGUGCAAAUCGUUCGUCAUACUUGGG
rnacentral:rRNA from 1 species